CCGCAUGGACGACCUUGCGCGCCUCUGGCCAUAUCGGGGACGGCCCCG
rnacentral:ncRNA from 1 species